rnacentral:rRNA from 1 species
AUGCAUAUUCGGCCGACUUCCUCUCGAGUCCUUUCGGCCUUCUCUGAUGCAGAUUGGGCUGGUAGUCCAGAUGACAGGCGAUCCACGGGGGGUUAUGCAGUAUUCUUUGGCUCUAAUUUGAUCGCCUGGAGUGCUCAGAAACAGGCUACUGUGUCACAUAGCAGUACUGAAGCUGAGUACAAGGCUGUGGCUAAUGUUAUUGCAGAGAUUAUUUGGGUGCAGUCUUUGCUUCAGGAGUUGGGUUUGUCUCAACCACAGCCUCCUAUCCUUUGGUGUGAUAACAUCGGUGCUACAUACCUUUCUGCAAAUCCGGUAUUUCAUGCCCGAACGAAACACAUUGAAGUUGACUAUCACUUUGUACGGGAACGUGUAUCACAGAAGCAACUCCAGAUCAAGUUUAUCUCAUCUAAGGAUCAACUUGCAGACAUCUUCACUAAGCCUUUACCUCUGCCACAGUUUGAGGCUUGUAGGCGCAAUCUUACCCUUCUUAGUUCUUUAGAAAGUGGCUAA